GUCGCAAUAGCUUAUUAAAGCG
rnacentral:tRNA from 1 species